UACGUAGGGGGCAAGCGUUAUCCGGAUUUACUGGGUGUAAAGGGAGCGUAGACGGCAGGGCAAGUCUGGGGUGAAAGGCGGGGGCCCAACCCCUGGACUGCUCUGGAAACUGUCCGGCUGGAGUGCAGGAGAGGUAAGUGGAAUUCCUAGUGUAGCGGUGAAAUGCGUAGAUAUUAGGAGGAACACCAGUGGCGAAGGCGGCUUACUGGACUGUAACUGACAUUGAGGCUCGAAAGCGUGGGGAGCAAACAGG
rnacentral:rRNA from 1 species